rnacentral:rRNA from 1 species
UGGGGAAUUUUCCGCAAUGGGCGAAAGCCUGACGGGGCAAUGCCGCGUGGAGGUGGAAGGCCUACGGGUCGUCAACUUCUUUUCUCGGAGAAGAAACAAUGACGGUAUCUGAGGAAUAAGCAUCGGCUAACUCUGUGCCGG